UGGGGAAUAUUGCACAAUGGGGGAAACCCUGAUGCAGCGACGCCGCGUGAACGAAGAAGGUAUUCGUAUCGUAAAGUUCUGUCCUAUGGGAAGAUAAUGACAGUACCAUAGAAGAAAGCUCCGGCUAAAUACGUGCCAGCAGCCGCGGUAAUACGUAUGGAGCGAGCGUUGUCCGGAAUUAUUGGGCGUAAAGGGUACGCAGGCGGUUUAAUAAGUCGAAUGUUAAAGAUCAGGGCUCAACCCCGCAAAGCAUUGGAAGCUGAUAAACUUGAGUAGUGGAGAGGAAAGUGGAAUUCCUAGUGUAGUGGUGAAGUACGUAGAUAUUAGGAGGAAUACCAGUAGCGAAGGCGACUUGCUGGACACAAACUGACGCUGAGGUACGAAAGCGUGGGGAGCAAACAGG
rnacentral:rRNA from 1 species